rnacentral:rRNA from 1 species
CGAAGGAUCCAAGCGUUGUCCGGAUUUACUGGGUUUAAAGGGUGCGUAGGCGGACUAUUAAGUCAGUGGUGAAAGCUUGCAGCUUAACUGUAAAAUUGCCAUUGAAACUGAUAGUCUCGAAUAUGGUUGAGGUGGUUGGAAUGUAUCAUGUAGCGGUGAAAUGCUUAGAUAUGAUACAGAACACCGAUUGCGAAGGCAGAUCACUAAACCAUUAUUGACGCUGAGGCACGAAAGCGUGGGGAUCAAACAGGAUUAGAUACCCUGGUAGUCCACGCCCUAAACGUUGCAUACUCGGUUUUAGCGAUAUACCGUUAGGACCCAAGCGAAAGCGUUAAGUAUGCCACCUGGGAAGUACGUCCGCAAGGAUG